rnacentral:rRNA from 1 species
AUUGAACGCUGGCGGCAGGCCUAACACAUGCAAGUCGAGCGAGCGGCGGACGGGUGAGUAAUGUCUGGGGAUCUGCCCGAUGGAGGGGGAUAACUACUGGAAACGGUAGCUAAUACCGCAUACUAUCGGAUGAACCCAUAUGGGAUUAGCUAGUAGGUGGGGUAAAGGCUCACCUAGGCGACGAUCCCUAGCUGGUCUGAGAGGAUGACCAGCCACACUGGGACUGAGACACGGGCCAGACUCCUACGGGAGGCAGCAGGGGGGAAUAUUGCACAAUGGGCGCAAGCCUGAUGCAGCCAUGCCGCGUGUAUGAAGAAGGCCUUAGGGUUGUAAAGUACUUUCAGCGAGGAGGCGUUACUCGCAGAAGAAGCACCGGCUAACUCCGUGCCAGCAGCCGCGGUAAUAC